rnacentral:rRNA from 1 species
UGGGGAAUUGUUCGCAAUGGGCGCAAGCCUGACGACGCAACGCCGCGUGGAGGAUGAAGACCUUCGGGUCGUAAACUCCUUUCGAUCGAGACGAAUGGCCUCCGGGUGAACAAUCCGGAGGAGUGACGGUACCGAGAGAAGAAGCCCCGGCUAACUCCGUGCCAGCAGCCGCGGUAAGACAGAGGAUGCAAGCGUUAUCCGGAAUGAUUGGGCGUAAAGCGCGUGUAGGUGGCUUGGUAAGUCCGGUGUGAAACCUUGGGGCUCAACCCCAAGCCUGCAUCGGAUACUGCCUCGCUCGAGUUCGGGAGGGGAGAGCGGAAUUCCUAGUGUAGCGGUGAAAUGCGCAGAUAUUAGGAAGAACACCGGUGGCGAAGGCGGCUCUCUGGAACGAUACUGACACUGAGACGCGAAAGCGUGGGUAGCGAACAGGAUUAGAUACCCACGUAGUCCCUGAGCGGGCUGGCAAGGCGCAU